AGCGACCGGGACAGGGAGGCUUCCUGGAUCAGUGGUGAAGACCCGGGCUUGCAGCAUUAUGGUACACCGCAGAAUGAGUGGCUGCGGCGUGUGUACAAACCGAGUGAACACAGGAAAACUAGGAGGAGA